rnacentral:rRNA from 1 species
CCUACGGGGGGCAGCAGUGGGGAAUAUUGGACAAUGGGGGCAACCCUGAUCCAGCCAUGCCGCGUGUGUGAAGAAGGCCCUCGGGUUGUAAAGCACUUUCAGUGAGGAAGAACGCCUGGUGGUUAAUACCCAUCAGGAAAGACAUCACUCACAGAAGAAGCACCGGCUAACUCCGUGCCAGCAGCCGCGGUAAUACGGAGGGUGCGAGCGUUAAUCGGAAUUACUGGGCGUAAAGCGCGCGUAGGUGGCUUGAUAAGCCGGUUGUGAAAGCCCCGGGCUCAACCUGGGAACGGCAUCCGGAACUGUCAAGCUAGAGGGCAGGAGAGGAAGGUAGAAUUCCCGGGGUGGCGGUGAAAUGCGUAGAGAUCGGGAGGAAUACCAGUGGCGAAGGCGGCCUUCUGGACUGACACUGACACUGAGGUGCGAAAGCGUGGGUAGCAAACAGGAUUAGAUACCCUUGUAGUC